rnacentral:rRNA from 1 species
UACGUAGGGUGCGAGCGUUAAUCGGAAUUACUGGGCGUAAAGCGUGCGCAGGCGGUGAUGUAAGACAGAUGGGAAAUCCCCGGGCUCAACCUGGGACCUGCAUUUGUGACUGCAUCGCUGGAGUACGGUAGAGGGGGAUGGAAUUCCGCGUGUAGCAGUGAAAUGCGUAGAUAUGCGGAGGAACACCGAUGGCGAAGGCAAUCCCCUGGACCUGUACUGACGCUCAUGCACGAAAGCGUGGGGAGCAAACAGG